GCAAUUCCCAUCUCAACGGUGGCUUCGGAGUCUGCCUUCAGCACAAGUGGACGCAUACUUGAUGACUUCAGGACAUCUCUUAAUCCAUUCAUGAUACAAGCUUUAGUGUGUACACAAGAUUGGUUGAGACGCUCCACUGACCCGUCGACAUCCAAGAGGACAUGGAGGCAUUACAAGAGCUAGAAAAUAAGCUGCUUGAAGAACUUGGCGAAAAAGGGAAAGGGAAGCGCAAGGCUGAUGAUGCUGGAUCCCCGGCCUUGGGAAAGUCAAGCAAAGUCCGCUAACAAGUGCAACAACUCUAUGUAAUAUAUGUUCUAUUGUGCUUUUCAUCCGUAAGAUGUUAUUUGUCAAGUUGUGAGUUGUGAGUGUGAGACCAUGAGAUUGAGACUUGCCAUUUGUUGUAAGAAUUAAUGUUCUCUUAUUUGUUUUCAAUUAUAAACUGCUAUCUGUAAGCUGCUCCCAUUUCCUGCUGC